UAAAGAUUCAUCGCUGAUAGAUAGGCAUGCGUUCCAUUAGGCAGUUGGCGGGGUAACGGCCCACCAAACCGACGAUGGAUAGGGGUUCUGAGAGGAAGGUCCCCCACAUUGGUACUGAGACACGGACCAAACUCCUACGGGAGGCAGCAGUGAGGAAUAUUGGUCAAUGGGCGUAAGCCUGAACCAGCCAAGUCGCGUGAGGGAUGAAGGUUCUAUGGAUCGUAAACCUCUUUUAUAAGGGAAUAAAGUGCGGGACGUGUCCCGUUUUGUAUGUACCUUAUGAAUAAGGAUCGGCUAACUCCGUGCCAGCAGCCGCGGUAAUACGGAGGAUCCGAGCGUUAUCCGGAUUUAUUGGGUUUAAAGGGUGCGUAGGCGGCCUUUUAAGUCAGCGGUGAAAGUCUGUGGCUCAACCAUAGAAUUGCCGUUGAAACUGGGAGGCUUGAGUAUGUUUGAGGCAGGCGGAAUGCGUGGUGCAGCGGUGAAAUGCUUAGAUAUCACGCAGAACCCCGAUUGCGAAGGCAGCCUGCCAAGCCAUGACUGACGCUGAUGCACGAAAGCGUGGGGAUCAAACAGGAUUAGAUACCCUGGUAGUCCACGCAGUAAACGAUGAUCACUAGCUGUUUGCGAUACACAGUAA
rnacentral:rRNA from 1 species